CAUACACAUUCACAUACACAUACACACACUCACACACAUGCAUGCCUGAGGCAGGAAGUGUUCACACUGACCAGCCAAUACAGACACAGAGAGACUGAGAGACAGAGAAUAAGAGAGUGUUAGCAUCUCUGACAGCUUGCAGCAGAGCAGUGGAGGGGAGUGAGACUGAGUGAGAUCACUGAACAGAGACAAAAUGGCAGCUGGUCAUUUGAGGCACAUCAUCGUGUCACCUGCUUCAGGCAGGAGACGAGUGAGAAAAUGGUGAUAGAUGGCAAGGUAGCAAAAGGGGGAGUGCUACUUCACCUCCCAGGUUAUUUUCCUGCCAGCAGUUGUCUGUUAGUGUGUGUGGGUGUGUGUGUGUGUGUGUGUGUGUGUGUGUGUGUGUGUGUGUGUGUGUGUGUUAUAGAUAAUCCAGUGACUGCACUCUCUCCCAUACUCCUGAUAUGACGUGAAGUUACACUUACAUUUUACAUUAUACUGCUCUCCAGCGAAACUCUACAUUUCAGUCUGAUGACAUCAGGACUGACAUUCGUCCAAAAUUCGCCAGUGCUAAAAGGAAUAAUUUCAGAAAAUACAGCUUGUCACUUUGCAGUGAAAACCUGAAGAGUGAACACCUCCGUCCUGAAGACUAUCCUUCACUAGGAAACUUGCACCAUGGUCGUUACAAAGCACUGACAGCCGGCACGCCUUUGAUAAAUGUUCAAAAACAAUUUGCCACAGUCUUCGAUUAUGUGGGAGGAUCGCUAUACAAGCCAUCAGUGUAAGAGCUGUUACUAAAACAUCACUAGCUUAUUAUACAACAAGAGCAUUCAGAUGACCCUGUCAGUCAAAAUACAGACUAAACAACUGUCUAAUCUGCAUUAUUAUACAAAUCUAAUACACUCCUUUUGACCAAUCAGAUUUCAAAAACACAGCAAUUGGU